GCAAAGCCAGCCUCUCCACCUCCAUCUGUAAUGUGUAUAAAUGGAGAGGGUGAGAGCAGAGAAAAAUACAGUGUGUGAGUGAACAAUUAUCAGGAAGUGUAUUGUUUGUAAUUCUUCCAUUUCUCUCCAUAUAGUGAAAUCCGCUGCCCAUGGACGUAGGCGACUUGCCGAACCACGUUAAAACUCUUGUGUUAUUGCUUGUUUGUGUUUCCUAGUGUGCCCUCGAUCCACAACACUAAUUGGGUUCUAAAGGAACAUAGAAAGUUGUAAAUCGGAUAAUAGAGGAGAGGGAGAAGAGACAGGGUUCGAAAGGGAGACUAGUUCAGCGGCGCAAGAUUUCGAUUUGGAACGGUGUGCUCCCUUCGGCGGUGAGACUGGUUCAGCGAUGACAACGAUCGACGGUUCAGAGGGGAAAGGUUUCGUUCUUGAGCCUGCUACAGUUUUCAAGGGUGCUUAUGAGAGUUUGGGCCUUGAUGCUUCUAGUAGGAAAUCAGUUAGAAUGCAGAAGAUAUGGUAUCUAAUUCAGGUACACUGCUUGCUUUAUGUUUUACUUAUAGUUUGCUAAUUGCUAUUCUGGAAACUUAUAAUUGCAUUAGCCAUGGUUCUCUUUGUAAUGCUUGUAACGCAAUUGUUUGUGCGGAAUUGAAUUAUAUGCUAAACACUGAUGGGUGAGGGCUCAACUAUUCCAAGGGAUGUUUCGAAGAAAAUGUCUUUAGUAAUUGGUGCAAGGCGCCACCUCGAUUGAGGCAUGAGAAAUAUAUCAUUGGUACAAUACAAAGUCAUCCUGCACAGACAAGAAAUGCAACAGGGUUAGUUGCUCCAGCUAUUGCUGCUGGUUUAGGUGCCUUAACACAUACAUUGGGUACCCUCGUCCUUGUGAUAGAAGCAAGUGGAUUUUCUACAGCUGCAACUGC